GAUGAAGAACGUAGUGAAAUGCGAUACGUAGUGUGAAUUGCAGAAUUCAGUGAAUCAUCGAAUCUUUGAACGCACAUUGCACCUCUCGGUAUUCCGGGAGGUAUGCCUGUUCGAGCGUCAUUUGUACCCUCAAGCUCUGCUUGGUGUUGGGUGUUUGUUCCGCCUCUGUGUGUGAACUCGCCUCAAAACAAUUGGCAGCCGGCGUACUUGUUUCGGAGCGCAGCACAUUUUGCGAUCCAGAUCAACGUACAGCGGCAUCCAAGAAGCCUUAUUUAACGCUCUUGACCUCGGAUCAGGUAGGAAUACCCGCUGAACUUAAGCAUAUCAAUAAGCGGAGGA
rnacentral:misc_RNA from 1 species